rnacentral:lncRNA from 1 species
GUCUCAUUUCAAGUGUAUGAGGGGUGGUCUAAGGCCAUACAGUUUUCUGUGGGUCUUAGGUUUUAUGAUCUACUAAUUUUUAGUUAGCUCUUUAGUCAAAUUCCUGAGAGGAACCUGAGGGGCAGUAGGUGGUGUCUGUCAAAUAUUUAAGAGGAACCUUACACCUGAGGGGGUUCGCUGUGAUCAAACACUCCUAGCAUUGUUCUAAAUGCUUUUUCCCCACCCACAGACCUCAGGUCCUGAUCUUUCCCAUUCUGCCUACUGAAUCUUAUCUUUUUCUAUCAUAAUUCUAAGUGGCACCCAGGGAUAGGCAGGAAGGCUUCCCAUUAAUUUAUGAGAGUUGAGAGGUGCUGGCAUGGCUCAGUCCUUUACCACCUGAUUUUGGCUCAGCUCAUCAUCCUAGGCCUUGUGGGUUUGAGCACCACAUUGGGUGUGUGCUCAAGCUCAGAGCCUGGAGCAGGCUUCAGAAUCUGACUGCCUGUCUCUCUGCCCCUCCCCUGCUCAUGCUCUGUCUCUGUCUCCCAAAAAAGAAAUACAUACUAUUAAAAAAAAAAAAAGACCUAUGAGAGUUGAGUGCAGGGUUUUCGACAAGGAGAGGUAGCAGAUCUCCUGUAGAGGAGUUGGGGAGGUUGAGGUCCAAGUAGCAUCCGUUUUCUGUGCUCAAGCAGAGUUUGUGGGCUUCUGUGGGAAGGCAGGUGCUGGAGUCCAGCUCCCACAGGUCCAGGGUUCCUGGAAGGAUCGAUGGUGUCAGCAAAAGGGAGUGAGAUAGCUCAAGUUUCUUUGUGAUCACCAGGCAGGCAUCUCUACUCUGAUUCUCUAGCUUUUUUUAUAGUGAAAGGUACAAGGAGAAGGAAGAGCAGGGUAUGUUAGUAAAUGAUUUCUCAUAAAUAAUUUUUUCAACACAAUUUUGCAGAUCAGGGAUUCUGCAGAAGUUACAAUUCUAAUCUUAGUCGUACUGAUUGUCAAAAAAAAAAACAGCUACAGGCACUCAUGCUAUUAUUUGGGAAGGGCAGGUAUUUUUUAAAUGUACUUUUUUUUCCCCAUAGGAUGCAGAAGAGCAAGAUAUACAAACCCUCUGGUAGAGCCCUGAGAAAGCGAUCUUUAGCCAUGAGGCAAAGAGCAUUCUUUAGUAAAGGAAGGCUGGGAAAUUGUACCUUCUCUGCAUUUGAAAGUCCUGCCUGCAGGCGAGGAGCAGUUUACCAGUGA